rnacentral:rRNA from 1 species
GCUGGCGGCGUGCUUAACACAUGCAAGUCGAACGCGCAGCAUUCUGUAGCAGUACAGGGUGUGGGCGCGUGGCGAACGGGUGCGUAACACGUGGAUAACCUUCCUUCAGGUGGGGAAUAACCCAGUGAAAAUUGGGCUAAUACCGCAUAACAUCGCGAUGGCACAUGCUGUUGCGUUCAAAGGCGCAAGUCGCCAGAAGAGGGAUCCGCGGCCGAUUAGCUUGUUGGCGGGGUAACGGCCCACCAAGGCUUUGAUCGGUAGCCGGACUGAGAGGUUGGCCGGCCACACUGGAACUGAGACACGGUCCAGACUCCUACGGGGGGCAGCAGUGGGGAAUCUUGCACAAUGGACGAAAGUCUGAUGCAGCAACGCCGCGUGGGGGAUGAAGCUUCUCGGAGUGUAAACCCCUUUCGACCCGGACGAAUGCCCGCAAGGGUUUGACGGUACGGGUAUAAGAAGCCCCGG